rnacentral:rRNA from 1 species
GACGAACGCUGGCGGCGUGCCUAAUACAUGCAAGUCGAGCGGAUGGAAGGAAGCUUGCUUCCUAAAGUCAGCGGCGGACGGGUGAGUAACACGUGGGCAACCUGCCCCUAAGAUCGGGAUAACUUCGGGAAACCGGAGCUAAUACCGGAUAUGAUUAUGUCCCACAUGAGACCUAAUGGAAAGACGGUUUCGGCUGUCACUUAGGGAUUGGCCCGCGGCGCAUUAGCUAGUUGGUGAGGUAACGGCUCACCAAGGCGACGAUGCGUAGCCGACCGGAGAGGGUGGUCGGCCACACUGGGACUGAGACACGGCCCAGACUCCUACAGGAGGCAGCAGUAGGGAAUCUUCCGCAAUGGACGAAAGUCUGACGGAGCAACGCCGCGUGAGUGAAGAAGGUUUUCGGAUCGUAAAACUCUGUUGUUAGGGAAGAACAAGUACCAUAGUAACUGAUGGUACCUUGACGGUACCUAACCAGAAAGCCACGGCUAACUACGUGCCAGCCGCCGCAGUAAUAC